rnacentral:misc_RNA from 1 species
GAACGCACCUUGCACUCCUUGGUAUUCCGAGGAGUAUGCCUGUUUGAGUGUCAUUAAAUUCUCAAACCUCGUUGGCUUUAUUGACAGCGAGGCUUUGGAUGUGGGGGCUGCUGGACUCUAACGAGAUCAGCUCUCCUUAAAUGCAUUAGUGGUUACUGUUUUCCACUACCAGGUGUGAUAAUAUCUACGCCUCGGUGGAAAUGUUAAGUGUAGCUGCUUUCUAACCGUCCAUGCAAUGUGGACAACUUGAAACAUUUGACCUCAAAUCAGGUAGGACUACCCGCUGAACUUAAG